GACGAACGCUGGCGGCGUGCCUAAUACAUGCAAGUAGGACGCAGUUGCGAACGGGUGAGUAACGCGUAGGUAACUCCCUAUUAGAGGGGGAUAACUAUUGGAAACGAUAGCUAAUACCGCAUACUAGUAGAUGGACCUGCGUUGUAUUAGCUAGUAGGUAGGGUAAUGGCUUACCUAGGCGACGAUACAUAGCCGACCUGGCAGGUGGUUCGGCACCCCUGGGACGGAGACCCGCCCCGGACGCCUACGGGAGGCAGCAGUAGGGAAGCUUCGGCAAUGGGGGGAACCCGGACCGAGCAACGCCGCGGGAGGGAAGAAGGUUUUCGGAUCGGAAAGCUCUGUUGUUAAGGAAGCGGUACUUAACCAGAAAGGGACGGCUAACUACGUGCCAGCAGCCGCGGUAAUAC
rnacentral:rRNA from 1 species